GGUACCAUAGCUCAGUCGGUAGAGCAAAGGACUGAAAAUCCUUGUGUCGCUGGUUCGUCCCGAUAGCUAUCG
rnacentral:tRNA from 1 species